CGGCCCGCAAGGGUCAGUCGAGCGGCGAACGGGUGAGUAACGCGUGGAUAACCUGCCCAGAGGUGUGGAACAACCAGGGGAAACUCUGGCUAAUACCGCAUGAUACCGAGAGGUCAAAGGGGGCUCGCAAGGGCUCUCGCCACUGGAGGGGUCCGCGUCCGAUUAGCUAGUUGGUAGGGUAAUGGCCUACCAAGGCUACGAUCGGUAGCCGGCCUGAGAGGGUGAUCGGCCACACUGGAACUGAGACACGGUCCAGACUCCUACGGGAGGCAGCAGUGGGGAAUUUUGCGCAAUGGGCUAACGCCUGACGCAGCAACGCCGCGUGGAGGAUGAAGGUCUUUGGAUUGUAAACUCCUGUCGGCAGGGAAAAAGCAAUUCGGCCUAAUACGCCGGAGAGUUGAUUGUACCUGCGGAGGAAGCCCCGGCUAACUCUGUGCCAGCAGCCGCGGUAAUACAGAGGGGGCAAGCGUUAUUCGGAAUUAUUGGGCGUAAAGGGCGCGUAGGCGGCCUGGCAAGUGGAAGGUGAAAUCCCUCGGCUUAACCGAGGAACUGCCUUCCAAACUGCUUGGCUUGAGUCCGGGAGAGGUGAGUGGAAUUCCCAGUGUAGCGGUGAAAUGCGUAGAUAUUGGGAGGAACACCAGUGGCGAAGGCGGCUCACUGGACCGGAACUGACGCUGAUGCGCGAAAGCGUGGGGAGCAAACGGGAUUAGAUACCCCGGUAGUCCACGCCGUAAACGAUGAGUGCUUGGUGUAGCGGGUAUCGACCCCUGCUGUGCCGAAGUCAACACAUUAAGCACU
rnacentral:rRNA from 1 species